GAAUUCACUAGUGAUUCAGGCCUAACACAUGCAAGUCGAGCGAAUGAUGAAGAAGCUUGCUUCUUCUGAUUUAGCGGCGGACGGGUGAGUAACACGUGGGCAACCUGCCCUGUAGAUUGGGAUAACUCCGGGAAACCGGGGCUAAUACCGAAUAAUCCAUUUCCUCUCAUGGGGAAAUGUUAAAAGACGGUUUCGGCUGUCACUACAGGAUGGGCCCGCGGCGCAUUAGCUAGUUGGUGAGGUAACGGCUCAUCAAGGCGACGAUGCGUAGCCGACCUGAGAGGGUGAUCGGCCACACUGGGACUGAGACACGGCCCAGACUCCUACGGGAGGCAGCAGUAGGGAAUCUUCCACAAUGGACGAAAGUCUGAUGGAGCAAUGCCGCGUGAGUGAAGAAGGUUUUCGGAUCGUAAAACUCAUGGGUGAGGGAAGAACAAGUACGAGAGUAACUGCUC
rnacentral:rRNA from 1 species